rnacentral:rRNA from 1 species
UACGUAGGGGGCGAGCGUUAUUCGGAAUUACUGGGUGUAAAGGGUAUGUAGGCGGCCUGACAAGUCGCGUGUCAAAGUCCAGCGCUCAACGCUGGGUUCGCACGCGAUACUGUCAGGCUUGAGGACUGGAGAGGUGAGCGGAAUUCCCGGUGUAGUGGUAAAAUACGUAGAUAUCGGGAGGAACACCAGCGGCGUAGGCGGCUCACUAGACAGUUUCUGACGCUAAGAUACGAAAGCGUGGGGAGCAAACAGGAUUAGAUACCCUGGUAGUCCACGCCCUAAACGAUGGAUACUUGGUGUUGGGGGGUUACCUUCAGUGCCGGAGCUAACGCGUUAAGUAUCCCACCUGGGGACUACGGCCGCAAGGCUAAA